GGGGAUGUGGCUCAAGCGGUAGAGCGCUCGCCUGGCAUGUGCGCGGUGCUGGGUUCCAUCCUCAGCACCACA
rnacentral:tRNA from 1 species